rnacentral:rRNA from 5 species
CGGACCUCCGAUCAAGCAAGAGGACCCGCUGAAUUUAAGCAUAUAACUAA